rnacentral:rRNA from 1 species
CGCAAGCCUGACGGAGCAAGACCGCGUGGGGGAUGAAGGUUUGUGGAUUGUAAACCCCUUUUGUCAGGGAAGAACAAUGACGGUACCUGACGAAUAAGCCUCGGCUAACUCCGUGCCAGCAGCCGCGGUAAUACGGAGGAGGCAAGCGUUAUCCGGAAUUAUUGGGCGUAAAGCGUCCGCAGGUGGUUAGUCAAGUCUGCUGUCAAAGCGCGAGGCUCAACUUCGUAAAGGCAGUGGAAACUGAUUCACUAGAGUGCGGUAGGGGUAGAGGGAAUUCCCAGUGUAGCGGUGAAAUGCGUAGAUAUUGGGAAGAACACCGGUGGCGAAGGCGCUCUACUGGGCCUGCACUGACACUGAGGGACGAAAGCUA